rnacentral:rRNA from 1 species
UACAGAGGGUGCGAGCGUUAAUCGGAAUUACUGGGCGUAAAGCGUGCGUAGACGGUUAUUUAAGUCGGGUGUGAAAGCCCCGGGCUCAACCUGGGAAUUGCAUUCGAGACUGAAUAGCUAGGGUACGGUAGAGGGAAGUGGAAUUUCCGGUGUAGCGGUGAAAUGCGUAGAUAUUACAAGGAACACCAAUGGCGAAGGCAGCUUGCUGGGAUUUUUCUGACGGUCAUGGACGAAAGCGUGGGGAGCGAACAGG